rnacentral:rRNA from 1 species
UACAGAGGAGCCAAGCGUUGUCCGGAUUGACUGGGCGUAAAGCGCACGCAGGCGGUCGCGCGCGUGGGGUGUGAAAUCUGGCCGCUUAACGGCCAGGCGCCAUCCCAUACGGCGCGACUGGAGUGAUGCAGAGGUCGGUGGAAUUGCCGGUGUAGCGGUGAAAUGCGCAGAUAUCAGGAGGAACACCGGUGGCGAAGGCGGGUCUCUGGGCCGAUACUGACGCUGAGGAGCGAAAGCGUGGGGAGCGAACAGG